GUUAACUCCUGCAGUCCCAUAAGUGGGUGCAUGCGCUCAUAUUGGUAUUUCUGUUUGGGUCUCGGAGAGGGCAUGAGCAUGUUCAAGGCAUCACAUGGCUGCACGGUCAUCUAGAGCUUGCACUUCCACAAAACCACUCUCCACAAUAAACAGUUCAAUGGUCAGUUGAUUUUUGUAAAGAACACAGGUUGAGUAACAGUUUAGUGAGCUUUGUUGAAUCAAGCAGAAUUUGUAUGACAUUUCAGCCUUCCAGUUUAAAGAGACACUGUAGGGACUGUAUCUGCUUCAUCUCAUUAAACUGGUUAUAGUAUCUGGAGGUCCCCUGGUGCCAUAAUUUCAUUCAGCAUUAAACAGUUCUUAAUGUUAUGUUUCAAUGCUAAAUGAGAGUCCCCGGCUGCCCAUCCGCUGCUUUGGCUAAUGAGUAAGUAUUAGCAUGAGCAGAAAAAGGCAGCUGUGAUUGGCUGAUAGUGUCAGCUGACUGCUUUUAGCCUAUCAGAGCUCCAACUGACUGUAUUAAGAGUAUGGCUACAAGGAAGUGUGUAAUCUCUACCUUAGCCACACCUCCAGAAGGGGCCGGACUGUGGGUGUCCAGGAAAUCUUAUUUAGUGUUAAACUGCUCUAACAUGGUUUAAAACUGAAUGGAGGGGCAGUACCAGGGGACACUAUAACCAAUGCAAUAAGAUUAAUGGCUAUAGUGACUACAGUGUCCCUUUAAGAAUGUGUGUACCUACUAAAAAAUAACCACGGCAGUUUCCCUAUUUAAAUUUACAUCUUCCAUCGUCUUUUUUCAUAGGAACCCUGGCUAGGCUAAUGUGGCCUGAAAGGCACAAGGCUGGGUACAUAGAAGAUGGUUUUAGAAAGUUGAACAUAAUGUAGUUUGGGUAAAAGUGAAUGAUAUGCCAAUAAGCAAAUUUACCGUUGGGGAAGGAACUGUUGGAACAGUAGGCCCAGUAGUGAAAGAGUUAAAAUGACAGAACCUUAUGUCCAAGGAGUAGGUUGGUGGGAUUUUUGAGUCCAGGUCAACUAAAUUAUGCAGAGUUAGAAUGGAUAUGAUUCACAUUGGCAUCCUAGAUCAGGCUGUGCAUCUUGGGAAAUGUGUCUCCGAAAGAUCGGAGUUCCCAAACUAAGUCAGUAAACCUAGAAAGACUAUUGUAAUGCAGAAGAUAUAAGGUAAGGUUAUAAACAUUCCGUAAAAAGCUUAUUACAAUUGAAUAGGCAGUGAAAUGGUGUAUGCUUCUACAUGCAAGAUUUUUUUUCCCUGCUUUUUACUGUUUAGUAAACAUGUACACUUGUGAUCUUGUUAAAUAAAAGUGAGACUUAUAGUGAUAUACUGGAGGUUAUGGAAGAGGAACAUCCUCUGAGAAAGUCCACCAUCUACUAUAUGCUCCUGGACCAGGCUUGGCCAAUUGAUGGGAUACGUAGUUCAGGCACAAAACUAUAAUUUGUCUACUUGGCGGCAUCCGGAGUUGAAUUAUUUAAAACAAGUAUAUAUAUUAAUGUGUUCACUUUCAUAUUUGUUUAACCCUGCUGGACGCCAGUAACUGGUUUAUUGGAAUCAUGUGAUAUUCCUGAACUCUGUGUUUCACCGAAGACGUAUCUAGCAAAUUAAACAAUAACAACAACAACAAAAUCUGAAAACCUCAUAUAGUGAGGAGUAAGAGGAAUCGAAAUGUUGAUGAAUGUAAGCGGAGUGGCACAAUUGUAUAUUAUCAAUGUUGACAAUACAAAUUUGUAUUCUACAAGAGACUUGAACUGAUGACCAAUGGGACUGUGCUCUAAGUGAGCCAACAUGGCUGAAGAAGGUCAUGUGAUCUGCGGCACUCUGCAGGAUAAGAGACCUAAGGAUGCUUGUAGUCGAAAGAUUGUCUUCAAUAUAGACUAGCUACUGCCCCCUGGUGGUAGUAUGGAGACGGAGAUAUCUUAAAAGACUGCUUCUAUUGAAAGAAGUAGAUUCUGAUUAACUGACCGAAUAUGGCCAUAACACUGCCUUAUAUGUAGCUCUGUUUGGAAUCAACAUAUUUUUGUACUUGUAAACCUAAAAUUGUAUAAGGCACACAUAUGAGAACAGUUAUAUAUGACACACACAACAUACAGUGUAAACUGCAACGUGCUUAAUAAACAGCUUUCAAAGUA